UGGACCUCGGAUCAGGUAGGGAUACCCGCUGAACUUAAGCAUAUCAA
rnacentral:rRNA from 1 species